rnacentral:rRNA from 1 species
UACGUAGGGUGCAAGCGUUGUCCGGAAUUAUUGGGCGUAAAGAGCUCGUAGGCGGUCUGUCGCGUCGGCUGUGAAAAACCCGGGGCUCAACCCCGGGCCUGCAGUCGAUACGGGCAGACUAGAGUGUGGUAGGGGAGACUGGAAUUCCUGGUGUAGCGGUGAAAUGCGCAGAUAUCAGGAGGAACACCGGUGGCGAAGGCGGGUCUCUGGGCCAUAACUGACGCUGAGGAGCGAAAGCGUGGGGAGCGAACAGG